rnacentral:rRNA from 1 species
UACGUAGGUGGCGAGCGUUGUCCGGAUUUAUUGGGCGUAAAGCGCGCGCAGGUGGUGCGGUAAGUCUGUCGUGAAAUCUCCUGGCUCAACUGGGGAGGGUGCGGUGGAGACUGCCGGACUGGAGGCACUCAGAGGCCGGUGGAAUUCCCGGGUGUAGUGGUGAAAUGCGUAGAGAUCGGGAGGAACACCAGUGGCGAAGGCGGGUCUCUGGGCCGAUACUGACGCUGAGGAGCGAAAGCGUGGGGAGCCGAACGAGGAAUUGAUGAAA